UCCGCACGCUCCGCAGCACGGGGAGGCCGGGAUCAGACCCGGGGGGACUCGGCCGAGGCGGGAGCUCCUCCUCGCGGCUCCGAACGGGGAGCCCCAUUCCCGCCGGGAGCGCUUCGGGGCGGGGAAGCGGCACCUCGGGAGCGGGAAGCUGACAGCAUCCCUGCGCGGCAUCCUUUUAGAAAGCGUUUUGCAUUUGCUGUUAUCUCCGCGAGUCAUAUGUAUGCAAAUUAAACACGGCUGGUAGCAGCUAAAUAGGUAUUUCUUGCCAAAAAUACCUGCUCUGUGGAGUCCCCAUCCUCUCGCGUUUGCAAACUGCAUCAGAUGCUGCAUAAGACAUCCUCCAAAAUGUGCUGACACUCAUACCAGUAUCAGGAUCAACAGGUGUGGAAUGACUGAUACGCUCCAUCUGGUUGCUGCUGAUAAGCUUUCACUGUGUGCUUACCCUGCUCAAACACCUCCCCUAGUUUCCCCCGAGCCAAACUCGUGCUGUGGGGCGAGCAUCCGAGCCGAGCCACGCCGCCGACAGCAGCCAGACGGCCGCGCUGCAGCGGCAAUGAACAAACAGCGUGUUCCUUCUCCCCCCGGCUGCGGGAAAUGCAGAGGGCAUUUUUAAGCCGGUGUCUUAGCGAAAAAGUGCUGUGAAAAAGGGCAGUGCUGUGGCAGACACGAUUCCCGACACGCAGGACGGGGUGAUCCCGCCCCGCCACCCAAGGACGCGGCGUGACGGAUGCGCCUGGUGCGGAGCUGCCUGCCCUGGCUGCGGAUCUGCCACCACUGAGCGCGGAGCUGCCGGCCCUGGCUGCGGAUCUGCCACCACCGAGUGCGGAUCUGUCCCCCCUGGCUGCGGAUCCGCCACCCUGGCUGCGCUCCGUGGGUCGGUAAUGAGCACCAGCCGCGCCCCUGCAAACACGGCGUGCUGGCCUCCGCGGGAGCCGCGGCAUCACCGCCCCACAGUUUUAUCUUUGCGACAUUACAGCACCUGAUUUAGACAGCGGAUGCCCUCGUCUGCAUCCGAGCGGGCGGCAGCCGGCAGCGAGCCCUCAAACCCUCAAACUGGGGGCGGAGGGGAAGCGGGGAGCAUCCGGGCUCUCCUUCAUGAAUAGUUAAGCUUUUCCUGUUUUAUACCUAGAGCUGCUGCUGGUGUCAGACAUUACCCCAUCUGCUGGUGAGCAAAGCAAGAAGCUCGCAGCAACGAGGGGGAUUUUCUGCAUUCCCCCUGCCAUGGACAGGGAUGUCUCGGCCAUUUCUGGUGCCCGAGUCUCCCCAAGGGUACUGGGAGCCUCCUGGCAACCCACUGUGGCGAAUCCCUCUGCCUCCACCUGCUGCUCGAAACACACUUUUCCUGCCCCCAAGGUUUAUGUCAUUCCUGGAUUUACCAGUUGAAAAGUUAAGAUUAAACAUACAUAGUUGAUUCUCCAGAGAGAGCUUCAUCUCUGUCACCUCCCUUUUAAAUCCCCAAGGACAUCAGGACACAGAGACAAGACUUUGAACUUCCAGGUAAGAAACAGGGUUGUCUCUGCCAGCACUUUUAAAACUGACUCUUAAGAGAAAUGGCUCUUUCCCCUCCCUGUUGUCCUCCUGCCCAGCCGGGGGCAACCCCAGCAGGAGGGCUCUCACCCAACUCAGCAUCCCAGUUUUUCCAUGACCCUGCUGAAUUUCUGCCACCAGUGAGUUCAUAUUGGGUGCUCAGCUGAGCUGCUCCUGUUUGCAGCAGACAGCAAGUGAGGAAGGAGUGAGCUUCAGUAAUUACAUGGAACAGUUCACAUGAUGCUCACACAUAUGGCUUUUGGGACAAGCACAGGACACAGAGGUGAUGGGAGGGGUCUGCAUGCUGUCAACCCAUGUCAGAAUAAAUGAAUGAAUGAAGCCAAAAUUCUGAUUACUUUUGCACCUGGGUAGCUUUACUGGUGUUAAUUACAUGGUGGAAAUGGAGGAUCCAUGUAAGCAAGAUUCAAAUCAGUCAUUGAUAUUUAGCUCUGCUUCAGGUCCUCUCUAUAGUGUUGCUUCUGCUGAAGUG